UACGUAGGGUGCAAGCGUUAAUCGGAAUUACUGGGCGUAAAGCGUGCGCAGGCGGUUAUAUAAGACAGUUGUGAAAUCCCCGGGCUCAACCUGGGAACUGCAUCUGUGACUGUAUAGCUAGAGUACGGUAGAGGGGGAUGGAAUUCCGCGUGUAGCAGUGAAAUGCGUAGAUAUGCGGAGGAACACCGAUGGCGAAGGCAAUCCCCUGGACCUGUACUGACGCUCAGGCACGAAAGCGUGGGGGAGCAAAAGGG
rnacentral:rRNA from 1 species